rnacentral:lncRNA from 1 species
UUUGAACGGCUGAGUCUCAUGGAGACAGUAGAGACAGUAUAGCCCACCCAAUCUUGUAGACAAAGAUGCAUCAGACGUCACAUAACCUGUAAAUUUUCGCAUUAUAUCAAACCAAUGAUAUACCAAGUACAAAGAAAAGAUAUGCAGGCCUUUUCAAGCCUUCUAUGGUAACUCUCAUCACCCUAAAUUAAAAUCGGUCCAUAAUCGUGAAUGUCAAUCUAACUUCAUCCCGUUCCUGUUUCCAUUACGCCCUCUUUAAUAACCACAUAAAAAUUUCAAUAUGCAGAAAAGCCUAUACACAGAUAUCAAGAGCUACAAGUAGCCAACUGCCAACCAUUUGAGAGGAAACUAGUAAAUACACUCAUAUAUUAAUCAUCCAUAAAUCAUAGUCUACUGAUAUGGAAGUAUAGAUACCUCUCGUGUUACUCCCUCUGGUCCUUUUUAUAAGGCACUGCAAGAGUGCAAGCAACUCAAGAUCUUAAUACUUCCUCUUUUGCGUGCAGUGUCCUAUAAAUAGUACCAAGGGAGCAAUUAUAAGAAUCCUAAUAUUCGGUCUAUGUAUGCAUUAAACUCUCUAAAAUUUAGUCUAAUAAUAUAGAUACCUCAAAGCUUG